GACGAACGCUGGCGGCGUGCUUAACACAUGCAAGUCGAACGCUGAAGCUCAGCUUUUGUUGGGUGGAUGAGUGGCGAACGGGUGAGUAACACGUGAGUAACCUGCCCCCUUCUUUGGGAUAACGCCCGGAAACGGGUGCUAAUACUGGAUAUUCACUGGUCUUCGCAUGGGGGUUGGUGGAAAGGGUUUUUCUGGUGGGGGAAGGGCUCGCGGCCUAUCAGCUUGUUGGUGGGGUGAUGGCCUACCAAGGCUUUGACGGGUAGCCGGCCUGAGAGGGUGACCGGUCACAUUGGGACUGAGAUACGGCCCAGACUCCUACGGGAGGCAGCAGUGGGGAAUAUUGCACAAUGGGCGCAAGCCUGAUGCAGCGACGCCGCGUGAGGGAUGGAGGCCUUCGGGUUGUGAACCUCUUUCGCUCAUGGUCAAGCCGCAACAAUGGUUGUGGUGAGGGUAGUGGGUAAAGAAGCGCCGGCUAACUACGUG
rnacentral:rRNA from 1 species